rnacentral:rRNA from 1 species
AGUGAACGCUGGCGGUAGGCCUAACACAUGCAAGUCGAACGGCAGCACAGGAGAGCUUGCUCUCUGGGUGGCGAGUGGCGGACGGGUGAGGAAUACAUCGGAAUCUACCUUUUCGUGGGGGAUAACGUAGGGAAACUUACGCUAAUACCGCAUACGACCUACGGGUGAAAGUGGGGGACCGCAAGGCCUCACGCGAUUAGAUGAGCCGAUGUCCGAUUAGCUAGUUGGCGGGGUAAUGGCCCACCAAGGCGACGAUCGGUAGCUGGUCUGAGAGGAGGAUCAGCCACACUGGAACGGAGACACGGUCCAGACUCCUACGGGAGGAAGCAGUGGGGAAUAUUGGACAAUGGGCGCAAGCCUGAUCCAGCCAUACCGCGUGGGUGAAGAAGGCCUUCGGGUUGUAAAGCCCUUUUGUUGGGAAAGAAAUCCUGUCGAUUAAUACUCGGUGGGGAUGACGGUACCCAAAGAAUAAGCACCGGCUAACUUCGUGCCAGCCGCCGCUGUAAGAC